rnacentral:rRNA from 1 species
CCUACGGGAGGCAGCAGUGGGGAAUAUUGGACAAUGGGGGCAACCCUGAUCCAGCCAUGCCGCGUGUGUGAAGAAGGCCUUUUGGUUGUAAAGCACUUUAAGCAGUGAAGAAGACCUAACGGUUAAUACCCGUUAGCGAUGAUAUUAGCUGCAGAAUAAGCACCGGCUAACUCUGUGCCAGCAGCCGCGGUAAU